rnacentral:rRNA from 1 species
AUUGAACGCUGGCGGCAUGCCUAACACAUGCAAGUCGAACGGCAGCGCGGGGGCAACCCUGGCGGCGAGUGGCGGACGGGUGAGGAAUGCAUAGGAAUCUGCCCGGUUGUGGGGGAUAACGUAGGGAAACUUACGCUAAUACCGCAUACGACCUUCGGGUGAAAGUGGGGGACCUUCGGGCCUCACGCGAUCGGAUGAGCCUAUGCCCGAUUAGCUAGUUGGCGGGGUAAGAGCCCACCAAGGCGACGAUCGGUAGCUGGUCUGAGAGGAUGAUCAGCCACACUGGGAGUGAGACACGGCCCAGACUCCUACGGGAGGCAGCAGUGGGGAAUAUUGGACAAUGGGCGCAAGCCUGAUCCAGCAAUGCCGCGUGUGUGAAGAAGGCCUUCGGGUUGUAAAGCACUUUUGUUCGGGAAGAAAUCCGUGUGGUUAAUACCCGUACGGGAUGACGGUACCGAAAGAAUAAGCACCGGCUAACUUCGUG